rnacentral:rRNA from 1 species
AGCAGCCGCGGUAAUUCCAGCUCCAAUAGCGUAUAUUAAAGUUGUUGCAGUUAAAAAGCUCGUAGUUGAAUUUCGGGGUUAGUAGGUUGGUCAUGCCUCUGGUAUGUACUGGUCUCACUGAUUCCUCCUUCCUGAUGAACCUUAAUGCCAUUUAUUUGGUGUUUUGGGGAAUUUGGACUGUUACUUUGAAAAAUUAGAGUGUUUAAAGCAAGCUAACGCUUGAAUACAUUAGCAUGGAAUAAUGAAAUAGGACGUUCGAUCCUAUUUUGUUGGUUUCUAGGAUUGACGUAAUGAUUAAUAGGGAUAGUUGGGGGCAUUAGUAUUCAAUUGUCAGAGGUGAAAUUCUUGGAUUUAUUGAAGACUAACUACUGCGAAAGCAUUUGCCAAGGAUGUUUUCAUUAAUCAAGAACGAAAGUUAGGGGAUCGAAGACGAUCAGAUACCGUCGUAGUCUUAACCAUAAACUAUGCCGACUAGGGA